rnacentral:rRNA from 1 species
CCUACGGGGGGCAGCAGUGGGGAAUUUUCCACAAUGCCCGCAAGGGUGAUGGAGCGACGCCGCGUGAGGGAUGAAGGUCUUCGGAUUGUAAACCUCUUUCGUUUGGGAAUAAGGUUUCAGCACUAACAUUGCUGAAAUUUGACGGUACCGAAGGAAGAAGCUACGGCUAACUCUGUGCCAGCAGCCGCGGUAAUACAGAGGUAGCGAACGUUGUCCGGAUUUACUGGGCGUAAAGGGCUUGUAGGUGGCCAUAUAAGUCAGUUGUGAAAUCGUUCUGCUUAACAGAACAAUUGCUUCUGAUACUGUAUGGCUUGAGUGCAGGAAGGGAAAAUGGAAUUUCCGGUGUAGCGGUGAAAUGCGUAGAUAUCGGAAAGAACACCUGUGGCGAAGGCGGUUUUCUGGCCUGCAACUGACACUGAGGCGCGAAAGCUAGGGGAGCAAACAGGAUUAGAUACCCCUGUAGUC